rnacentral:rRNA from 1 species
UGGGGAAUAUUGCACAAUGGGCGCAAGCCUGAUGCAGCGACGCCGCGUGAGGGAUGACGGCCUUCGGGUUGUAAACCUCUUUCAGCAGGGAGAAGCGCAAGUGACGGUACCUGCAGAAGAAGCACCGGCUAACUACGUGCCAGCAGCCGCGGUAAUACGUAGGGUGCGAGCGUUGUCCGGAAUUAUUGGGCGUAAAGAGCUUGUAGGCGGUUUGUCGCGUCUGCUGUGAAAAUCCGGGGCUCAACUCCGGACUUGCAGUGGGUACGGGCAGACUAGAGUGUGGUAGGGGAGACUGGAAUUCCUGGUGUAGCGGUGGAAUGCGCAGAUAUCAGGAGGAACACCGAUGGCGAAGGCAGGUCUCUGGGCCACUACUGACGCUGAGAAGCGAAAGCAUGGGGAGCGAACAG